GAGGGGGAGCCCUGAUAACAACACAUGAGGGAGAGGGCACAGAACUCUACACAGGUAGACAUUUAUAUCUAUAUCUUUUUGGAUUACCACUUAGCUAAAUGUUUGCUGAAUGCAUCUGUACUUUGUAAAUAGAUCAAAGUUAACCGGCUGAUGGAUAUCAUGUGAUGUGAUAAGAACCCUCUAAACCAGAUUCUACAUGGAUCCUAUGCUGAGAUUGUUUCCAAGAAUGGCUGUAAACUUUAAAACUGGAAAAGGCUGGCCUUUGCACGCACCUGUCACUGUCCUCGUAAUCAAGCUCCUGCACCUGAUCUGCAAUCACCAGGGUAUAAGAGGGAGAACCGGACAACCAGCCGACGUCGGAUCGUCACCUAAGUCACUUGCACCUGUCUGUUCCUGCACGCUGGAUUCUCACCGGAUAUUGUACACCUGGGAAUUCACUCUCACCAUCCGCACUCCUCACGCCUGUUCCUGCCGCUCACCUACCCUUGUGUCAGCGAAUAAAUCUGACUUUCACUUGCUUUCUGACUGCCGUGUCGUUUACGUUCUGCGUUUGGGUUCAGUCCCACUACAACACCUGACAGUAUACUGUGAUUUUCCCCUCUCAGACUCGCCUGUCCCAGAGCGACACCCCAUACACUAAGCACUGUGGCGUCACACAGGCACACAAACACACACAAUAUCAUAUAAGCUACUCUCACUUACCAGGUAACAGUAACGUUGCUGUAGAAUAUUCGGGUUGGUUUUGUGUAACGUUGACCUUUGGCUCAUCAUGAUCUGUGGCAGUGUCACACGACGCGGCUGUAGCUUCAGGGACGGACUUUUGAAAACACUGAAAUUGUGUUUGGGUCUGUUUACAUUACAUAUGUUUUUACUUUUAAACUUUGUACAAACUCUCUAAUCUGAGAAUGGCUCUGACGGGCUCUGAGGAAAAACCACGCAAAGAAUGACUGCCAAACAACUUAUUGUUGCUUAGUUACAACGUUGCGUCCGAUAGGGGGCAAGGAAGCCCCAAAGACCCAAAUGUCAGUGCUUCACAACACAGAUGUGGUGAACUUAUGAAUGAAACUUAGAACGUUCUGUCACGACGAUGUUGUUACGUGUCAUCACGCUUUUGUUAGUGGGUAUACGGCGUAUACCUGCAUAUCACGUAGAUGACACCACUGCUUUACACCCCCCCAUUUUAUCAGGGUUACCAUUUCUCUCGCCCAAAACAAGUGCCAGGACAUGCCGGACAGUUUGAGGCAGCCCGCUUACCGAGUGUUCUCCAAGUACUAGCAGCUAGAUCAUCCCUGAUCCAUUAUAGAUUAACUGGAGAAUUUUCCGACAAGCUGUACGCAUGUAAUUUAAGAGAACAAAGCAGCCACACAAUGCAUGUACACAUGCUAUGUCAAACACACAAACACAAAUCUUAGUGAAUCGCUACAGAGGUAUUGACAACAAGACAAGUUGACUGCUUGAGACCCACACAUUGGGAGGUGGGCAAGGACGGAAAGCUACACUUUCAACGUCCACUAAAAAUCAACAGCUUUCAGAGUAGAACCCUGUGCUUGGAGAAGUAUUGCGUGUCUGCAUGCUCAAACAAAGCUCAAAAUUACAAAUGUUAACCAAUAAAACUGUCACUCCGAUGGAAGGAGCAUACAACGUUGAUUUCUGCGGAGCCGGUUGCCACAAAUAGCUAUUCUUGAGAAACCAAAGGUCCACCACUAGAAAAGAGUUGGUGACAGCUUCCAUAUUUGAUGCAACACUAGAGGCUACAAAACACACGAAGCAAGAAACAUAGUACUGGAAAUGAAAUUUAGACUGUGGGAUUGUUUCACAUUCUUCUUGUUGACGAAGUAUAGAAACUUGUUUUGAUGAUAAUUUAUGCAGUUAGUAUAUGUUUUGCAUUCUACAAAUAAAGCAAUGCUUUGAUCAGUGUCUAAUUAAAUGAGAGAGAGAGAGAGAGAGAGAGAGAGCGGAGGAUUGGGUUGCCUGAUAAGUACUUUAGAAUACAUUAUCAGUUGUACGUAUGAAGCGUGCUGAUUUAUUUUGUUGGUCUUGUAAUGCUCUGUUAAUUAGAAAAGGGGAGGGAUGUUUAAUCAAUUCUAGUGGGGAGAUUAAGGACAGGGGGGCAACAGCUUUCAACUCGUCAAUUAGAAGCACGGCCGUAAAACAACAGGAGCCAGAUAACUGACGGAUACACAGACUGCACACAAACAAGAUGCAAACAAGGGUCUACAGAUUUGUCAUUGCCAGUGCUGGUUUCCAGGCAGACUUUUUGUUUUCAUGCUGUUCACAUGCACAUAAAGUUUCUUAGAGUUCCCGUUUUGGUUCUCUUUCCUUGAGUAGAAAAAAGCUUGUGCAUGUGACUGCCUCCCAACUCCUUCGCUACAUCCCAUUGCUAUUCUGUAUGUAUACACGUAUGCACAACAGAAAUGAUUACAGAUUAAAAUCUUUGCUUCGUUAUGUCCUGUCUUG
ensembl:lncRNA